rnacentral:rRNA from 1 species
GCUUGUCUCAAAGAUUAAGCCAUGCAUGUCUAAGUAUAAAUAACUCUAUACUGUGAAACUGCGAAUGGCUCAUUAUAUCAGUUAUAGUUUAUUUGAUAGUCCCUUACUACUUGGAUAACCGUAGUAACUCUAGAGCUAAUACAUGCGUCAAGUCCCGACUGCGGGGCAACCUGCGGAAAGGAUGUAUUUAUUAGAUCCAACCAACCCGGUUUCGGCCGGUGCCUGGUGAAUCAUGAUAACUGAGCGAAUCGCAUGGCCUCCGCGCCGGCGAUGGUUCAUUCAAGUUUCUGCCCUAUCAGCUUUCGAU